GUAGGGGGCAAGCGUUAUCCGGAUUUACUGGGUGUAAAGGGAGCGUAGACGGCUGUGCAAGUCUGGAGUGAAAGGCAUGGGCUCAACCCGUGGACUGCUUUGGAAACUGUGCGGCUAGAGUGUCGGAGAGGUAAGUGGAAUUCCUAGUGUAGCGGUGAAAUGCGUAGAUAUUAGGAGGAACACCAGUGGCGAAGGCGGCUUACUGGACGAUGACUGACGUUGAGGCUCGAAAGCGUGGGGAGA
rnacentral:rRNA from 1 species